UCGAUUUAGCCAUGCUAGUCGCACGAGUUCAGACUCGUGGCGAAUAGCUCAGUAACACGUGGCCAAACUACCCUUCGGACCACCAUACCCUCGGGAAACUGAGGCUAAUAGUGCAUACCACACUCAUCCUGGAAUGACGAGUGUGCCAAACGCUCCGGCGCCGAAGGAUGUGGCUGCGGCCGAUUAGGUAGACGGUGGGGUAACGGCCCACCGUGCCAAUAAUCGGUACGGGUCAUGAGAGUGAGAACCCGGAGACGGAAUCUGAGACAAGAUUCCGGGCCCUACGGGGCGCAGCAGGCGCGAAACCUUUACACUGCACGACAGUGCGAUAAGGGAAUCCCAAGUGCACAGGCAUAGAGCCUGUGCUUUUGUGUACCCUAGGGCGGUGCACGAAUAAGGGCUGGGCAAGACCGGUGCCAGCCGCCGCGGUAAUACCGGCAGCCCAAGUGAUGGCCGAUCUUAUUGGGCCUAAAGCGUCCGUAGCUGGCCGCACAAGUCCAUCGGGAAAUCCACCUGCCCAACAGGUGGACGCCCGGUGGAAACUGUGUGGCUUGGGACCGGAAGGCGCGACGGGUACGUCCGGGGUAGGAGUGAAAUCCCGUAAUCCUGGACGGACCACCGAUGGCGAAAGCACGUCGCGAAAACGGAUCCGACAGUGAGGGACGAAAGCCAGGGUCUCGAACCGGAUUAGAUACCCGGGUAGUCCUGGCCGUAAACAAUGUCUGUUAGGUGUGGCUCCCACUACGAGUGGGUGCUGUGCCGUAGGGAAGCCGCUAAACAGACCGCCUGGGAAGUACGUCCGCAAGGAUGAAACUUAAAGGAAUUGGCGGGGAGCACUACAACCGGAGGAGCCUGCGGUUUAAUUGGACUCAACGCCGGACAUCUCACCAGCAUCGACUGUAGUAAUGACGACCAGGUUGAUGACCUUGUCCGAGCUUCAGAGAGGAGGUGCAUGGCCGCCGUCAGCUCGUACCGUGAGGCGUCCUGUUAAGUCAGGCAACGAGCGAGACCCGCAUCCGUACUUGCCAGCAGUACUUCACAGUAGCUGGGGACAGUACGGAGACCGCCGUGGCCAACACGGAGGAAGGAACGGGCAACGGUAGGUCAGUAUGCCCCGAAUGUGUUGGGCAACACGCGGGCUACAAUGGUCGAGACAAAGGGUUCCUACUCCGAAAGGAGACGGUAAUCUCAGAAACUCGAUCGUAGUUCGGAUUGUGG
rnacentral:rRNA from 1 species